UACGUAGGUGACAAGCGUUGUCCGGAUUUACUGGGCGUAAAGGGCGCGUAGGCGGUCAGCACAAGUCAGUUGUGAAAUCUCCGGGCUUAACCCGGAAAGGUCAACUGAUACUGUGCGACUAGAGUGCGGAAGGGGCAACUGGAAUUCUCGGUGUAGCGGUGAAAUGCGUAGAUAUCGAGAGGAACACCUGCGGCGAAGGCGGGUUGCUGGGCCGACACUGACGCUGAUGCGCGAAAGCAUGGGGAGCGAACAGG
rnacentral:rRNA from 1 species